GAUGAACGCUAGCUACAGGCUUAACACAUGCAAGUCGAGGGGAAACGACAUCGAAAGCUUGCUUUUGAUGGGCGUCGACCGGCGCACGGGUGAGUAACGCGUAUCCAACCUGCCCAUCACUUGGGGAUAACCUUGCGAAAGUAAGACUAAUACCCAAUGAUAUCUCUAGAAGACAUCUGAAAGAGAUUAAAGAUUUAUCGGUGAUGGAUGGGGAUGCGUCUGAUUAGCUUGUUGGCGGGGUAACGGCCCACCAAGGCAACGAUCAGUAGGGGUUCUGAGAGGAAGGUCCCCCACAUUGGAACUGAGACACGGUCCAAACUCCUACGGGAGGAAGCAGUGAGGAAUAUUGGUCAAUGGGCGAGAGCCUGAACCAGCCAAGUAGCGUGCAGGAAGACGGCCCUAUGGGUUGUAAACUGCUUUUAUAAGGGAAUAAAGUGAGAGUCGUGACUCUUUUUGUAUGUACCUUAUGAAUAAGGACCGGCUAAGUCCGUG
rnacentral:rRNA from 1 species